rnacentral:rRNA from 1 species
GUUUUCCUACGGGACGCAGCAGUGGGGAAUAUUGCGCAAUGGGCGAAAGCCUGACGCAGCGACGCCGCGUGAGGGAUGAAGGUCUUCGGAUCGUAAACCUCUGUCAGCCGGGCAGAACGGUCACUGUGCUAAUCAGCAGUGAAUUGACGGUACCUGCAAAGGAAGCACCGGCUAACUCCGUGCCAGCAGCCGCGGUAAUACGGAGGGUGCGAGCGUUAAUCGGAAUUACUGGGCGUCAAGCGCUCGUAGGCGGUCUGUCACGUCAAGGGUGCAAUCCCCGCGCUCAACGUGGG